UAGGGAAGUCUUUCCACAAUGGGCGAAAGCCUGAUGGAGCAACGCCGCGUGUGUGAUGAAGGGUUUCGGCUCGUAAACACUGUUGUAAGAGAAGAAUGACAUUGAGAGUAACUGUUCAAUGUGUGACGGUAUCUUACCAGAAAGGAACGGCUAAAUACGUGUCAG
rnacentral:rRNA from 1 species